rnacentral:rRNA from 1 species
ACUACGGGAGGCAGCAGUGGGGAAUAUUGCACACUGGGGGAAACCCUGAUGCAGCGACGCCGCGUGAGUGAAGAAGUAAUUCGUUAUGUAACGCUCUAUCAGCAGGGAAGAAAAUGACGGUACCUUAGUAAGAAGCCCCGGCUAACUACGUGCCGGCAGCCGCGGUAAUACGUAGGGGGCAAGCGUUAUCCGGAUUUACUGGGUGUAAAGGGAGCGGAGACGGCAGUGCAAGUAUGCGGUGAAAGGCGGGGGCUCAACCCCCGGACUGCUCUGGACGCUGUACGGCUUGAGUGCAGGAGGGGUAAGUGGAAUUCCUAGUGUAGCGGUGAAAUGCGUAGAUAUUAGGAGGAACACCAGUGGCGAAGGCGGCUUACUGGACUGUAACUGACGUUGAGGCUCGAAAGCGUGGGGAGCAAACAGGAUUAGAUACCCGGGUAGUC